rnacentral:lncRNA from 1 species
GCCGUAGUUACACUAAUACUUGCCAUUGUGAAUCAAAUAGUCAAAGAAUUCAACCCAGCUUCCUUCUGGACAAUCAUUUAGAAGCCGAGUGUGUGGCCAAGCAAUCUGGAUGUGUGGAUGAAAUUGUCACACACGGCCAGGAUAAAUUCACUGCAGGUCUGUGGAGAUAGGUCUUUCUGCUUUGAGAUGAACUUCAAGAGAAUUCUAGGCCUUUGAUCUCUCAGGACGCGUGUCCAAAUUGCGGCUCCCACAGAAGCCAGUUCAACCUGGUCCUUGGCACUUCCCAUGCCCGCCAGCCCCAGCGCUCUUGGCCUGUGGGUGAUGGUGAAUCCUCGGUUGUCUUGGCUUCCAAGAGCAGACUCUCAGCCUCUCAAUCAGGGAAAAUAGUCUAUUUUAUCAAUUUUAUGAUGAGGCAUACUCAACCAGUCAUGUUAGAUCUACCAGUGACAGAAACUAAUAUGAGUGUUGAAAACUGAACUUGGAAGACAGAAUUGGCUUCCCAGAGUACUCCAACCUAAUUUGCAUCAGAAAAAUAUCAAAUCAGUUUUGGCCAGAAUGGAAUGAAAAGCAC